UCCGUAGGCGGGCGGCUCAGUCAGUGGUGAAAGUUUGCAGCUCAACUGUAAAAUUGCCAUUGAUACUGGUUGUCUUGAAUUAUUAUGAAGUGGUUAGAAUAAGUAGUGUAGCGGUGAAAUGCAUAGAUAUUACUUAGAAUACCAAUUGCGAAGGCAGAUCACUAAUAAUAUAUUGACGCUGAUGGACGAAAGCGUGGGGAGCGAACAGGAUUAGAUACCCUGGUAGUCC
rnacentral:rRNA from 1 species